UGAGCUUGAUCCUGGCUCAGAGUGAACGCUGGCGGUAGGCCUAACACAUGCAAGUCGAACGGCAGCACAGUAAGAGCUUGCUCUUAUGGGUGGCGAGUGGCGGACGGGUGAGGAAUACAUCGGAAUCUACCUUUUCGUGGGGGAUAACGUAGGGAAACUUACGCUAAUACCGCAUACGACCUUCGGGUGAAAGCAGGGGACCUUCGGGCCUUGCGCGGAUAGAUGAGCCGAUGUCGGAUUAGCUAGUUGGCGGGGUAAAGGCCCACCAAGGCGACGAUCCGUAGCUGGUCUGAGAGGAUGAUCAGCCACACUGGAACUGAGACACGGUCCAGACUCCUACGGGAGGCAGCAGUGGGGAAUAUUGGACAAUGGGCGCAAGCCUGAUCCAGCCAUACCGCGUGGGUGAAGAAGGCCUUCGGGUUGUAAAGCCCUUUUGUUGGGAAAGAAAAGCAGUCGGCUAAUACCCGGUUGUUCUGACGUACCCAAG
rnacentral:rRNA from 1 species